ACACUACAAGAAACCUGUUAAUGCAUGACGGAUUUCCGCUGACAGUUUUGAAAACCGUCAUGAACAGCCUAGUACAGCCCCGCAGGCCUGUCAAAAGCCCGCCUAAAGCCCUAAACUUUUACCCGUAUAAAACUUAAAACCCUAACACACUUCCCCAUCCCCAUGUUCUCAAAAAAAAAACUUCCCCAUCCGCCGCCGCCACACCUGGCCUCUCCUCGCCCCCGUCCUCCGCCGUCACACCUUGCCUCUCUUCGUCCCCGUCCUCCGCCGCCACGCCUCUGCUUGUCCCCGUCCUCCCCCCACCUCCCUGCCUCCAACCGAUUACGGCGGCCCGAGAUCCAUGGCGACGGCGGUUGCAGCGGCCCCAUGUAAGCGGCGGCCAACCCUAGCCGAUGCGACGCGCCAGCCAUGGAUCUGACCAGGGGCCUCCCUCCUCUAUCUCCCAGGCCGCGCAGAUGCCUCUCCAUCCGGAGGUUCGGAGCAUCAAGUGUCGGACGAGGAGUGGACGACGACCAUGACUGCGGGAGGCCGAGCUUGACCAAGCGUGAGACGACGAGGGCCAGCACAAGAUCAACAUGAGCUCUCCGCCUCUCCAGUUCCUUGAAGGACGACCGGGACCCCACGCUCCAGCCCGACGAGCUGGACGAGUUCGACAGCGAGGUCGUCCCGCCCCGCCCACCGUGAUUCCCCACAGAACAAGGUCGACCCUCUCACUCUGUUUUUCUUUUGUUUCCAAGUGAUUAUGCUCAAAUUUUCUUAGACUGAACCUGAUGCAAAAAACGUGGCCACUUCCUUUCCUCAUACUCGCAUGUUACAGCCAACGAUAGAGUAGCACAUCUGGCUAUAUCCAUCUUCUUUUCUCACUGUGCGAGCACUAGCAGUGUGGAAAUCGUGAGAUCUACUAGUUAGUUAAGCAACUACUAGUUUAUUUUAGCAAGUAAACGCCCAUGAGAUGCUCCUGUUGGUUCCUUGCUACUCUGUGCAUGCAGCAAGGAUGUAAUUGCCAACGGGGCAGGUGAUGAUGCUAUUUGCCUUUUAGCUGAGGAGAAGAGUACUAUCGUAUCUUAACCUUCCACUGAACAUUCAAAUCUCAUGACUCUUGAUUUAUCUCUAUGGGAUCUAACUACUUAGCUGACCACUUUGUCCAAGUUACAUUUGUGGCAAAUAGUGGGGUGUGAUGUUCCAACAUGUCUUGCAUACUUUAGUAGACAAAACUAUCAUUUAUUUUAGCGUCAACGAUGAUGCAGUUCGUACUUGUUUUGUUCAGACUUUCCUGGAUUCCAUAGUUCUAUAUUUUUCUUGCUUCAUGAAAGUAGCCAUCAUAUGUUUUGUUGUGAUAUUGGUUGGUCAAUGCCUAAAUACAGAGUUGUAUUUAUCGAUAUACCAGAUUUGCAUUUCGAGGAUAAAUCGUGAUACAUAAAACAUAUUUGUUACUUUACUAGAGUUUUGAACUUAGAACAGACACUUGCCAAUGGCAAUAGUAUUUUUGAUGCCCAACGCCCUUGCAGCUAUUCAUAUAUCAAAAGCUCAACAUGCACCUUCCUUCUAUUAAGUUUUAAUUAAAUAUUUACAAUAAAACAUGUCUUGUUGUUUAUUGUCAAGGGCAAAUGUUGUUGUCCGGAAACAACUCCAGGCACCAGCUUCGAAUAGCUCUUGUAUUCAUCUAGAAUUUGAUAUUUCAGGCACAUUUCUUGUGUAAGUUUCUUGAUAUCUAUUACAGAUCCAAAAUAUGUCAAGUUUCUCUAUUGCUUGUCCAUGUGGUUCCACUUCAGACUAUUCAGAAGCAUCUUGUGAGCCAAGUGCUAUUUAGUGUUUAGUUUUCGAAACUUCAAUUGUUGCAUUUAUUUUUCCUCAUGUAGUGUUGAUCCUUUUUUGCCUACUUAAAUAAAAGAAAGUGUAGCAAUUUAUGCUUGUAAUUUUUGUGCCAGGAAGUUAUACUAGAUCUACUAUCCCAAUAAUUUUUUAUUUCCUAAAUCUACACUAAAGGCCUACAUCUAGACACGUUGUAAAAAGAACUUUUUCCGCACUAUACUUUGUUUUACUUAUUAGAAACUGGUGUAGGGUUAGAUAUCUUUACUGCCUAAAGCUUAGUCAUCUUAAAAUAGUCCAGCCAUAGUUUGUCUGUACUGCUUGAAGCUUAGUCAUCACAAAAUAGUUCAGCCAUAGUUUGUAUCUACACUUGUACCUAGCUGUUAGUUCUUUUCACUUAUCCAGAUUUGUCCACAUGCUGGUUAACUUGUUUUUUUAUGCCUUUGCUUAGUGCAGGUUCCAAGAAAUCAGAGGCUCCUUUUUCAAAACGGAUACACAGAGAAAUACAUAGAGAAAUCAGGGGCUCCUUUUUCGAAUCGGUUCCAAGAAAAUGUAGAGUUAUAUAGUAAUUUUGUUUAGAGGCUCCUUUUUCAGAUCUGUUCCAAGAAAAUGCAAAGUGAUGUAGUAAUAAUGUUUGUAAAUACUUGAUGAGCUAUCUAUGUAAAUAUGUAUUUUGGUAUCUGAACAUUGCCGUGAUUGUAAUAAGUUUGGUCUGUUAUUUGAAAAUUAAAUUUUAUUUA